rnacentral:lncRNA from 1 species
CCACAUACACACAAAAGGCAAUGAACAGUAACAACAAAAAUCAUCAGCUCUUUAUCUCUCUACACUCUACUCUCUCUCUCUUAAAAAUUGAACUUUCACCGCCACCUCGCCGCCGGCCGGCGACACCACCGUCCGACCAACGACAAUGAUGAUAACACCGCUUCAACUCCCAAUCUCUUUCCUCUCUCAGGAAAAGCCGCCGUCCUUCAAACCUCCCUCCGUUCGCCGGCGAAACGGUCACCACAAGCGAACACCGUUUGCCGGCCAGAGAUCCGAACGGACCGCCGCCUUCUCUCUCGAUCCCUCCGACGAACUAACGUCGGCACCACUCCAUUCUCAGCCUUCCAGAUCUGUCUCGUCACCACCUAGAUUUGCCAUCGCCGUCACCAACAAAACCACCGUUGUCGUCGUCCUUCCCUCCCUCCGGUGACAACAGCCACCGCCAACAACAACCCGACACCACCGUCCGACCAACGACCACGGCGCAUCGGCCAGCUUCGGCCGCGGUGCAUUGGCCAGCUCCGGCCGCAGCUCGUCCCUUCGACUCCGACGAGAUUUCGCAUAUGGGUCUUCUCGAUUUUUCAUAAUUUCAGUCUCGGUUCAUCUGGUAUUUUUUAUUUCUUCAUGCAAGAUUAGCUGGAAAUCGUUGAUUUGGGAUUUCGAAUCUGGGAUUUUGGGUUGUUUUUUUUUAAGUUUAUUCGGAUUUGUGGGUUAUUCAUCGUGAGGUUUUUGUCGUGGUUUUUCGAUCUGUCCGGUUGAACUCAAUAUUGAGUUUGGAGUUGUUCGUUGUGAGGUUCUCCGAUCGAGUAUUUUGGUCUUCGGAUUUCUUUAUUAUUGACAAGGAUUAGUUUUGUCAAGGUCCAUUUCUUCUAACCGAAUCUUUAAUUUAUUUUGACUUUUUAUUGAUGUUGUUGGUGUGGAUGAUUUAUUUGUUGUGUGUUUGAUUUGAAUCUUCGUUGUUUGUGUUGUGUUUGAUGUUGGUUUCGGAUUAUGAGAUGUGAUUGAAAAAUUGAAGCAUGCACUAAUCAUGUGGUUUAAAGGGAAUUCGGGGCGCUAGUUAAAAAAAUCAUUAAAGUGAAUUAGGAUUAAUUUUGAUUUGUUGUUGUUUUGAUUCGUCGUUAUUAUUACUUUCAUGUCUAAUUAUCAAUUUCGUGAUAGUAUCAUGGUAAGUCAAGCGGGUAGGCAAUCGUAGGCCGGGUAGGCGAAAUUUAGGAAUAAGUGUUUCGUGG